rnacentral:tRNA from 1 species
GGUCGGAUAGCUCAGUUGGUUAGAGCAUCUGGAGUAUAACCAGAAGGUCCUGGGUUCAAUCCCCAGUCUGGUCA